rnacentral:snRNA from 1 species
AGACAUGAGGGGACUUGGCUGUGAUGUCUGUCCCCACAUUGAUGGUGUGGGUGUUCUCAGCUGACCUUAGCCAGGGGUUCCCCUCCUCUCUCUCUGCUGAGAAUCCUUCUGGAAGCUGUGUUCUCCUCUAAGAGGGUGACAUUCCCAGAGAAAGGGAGGUAGUCUUUCAGGGCU